rnacentral:rRNA from 1 species
AGCAGGCGCGCAAAUUACCCAAUCCCGACACGGGGAGGUAGUGACAAUAAAUAACAAUACGGGGCUCUUUCGGGUCUCGUAAUUGGAAUGAGUACAAUUUAAAUCCCUUAACGAGGAACAAUUGGAGGGCAAGUCUGGUGCCAGCGGCCGCGGUAAUUCCAGCUCCAAUAGCGUAUAUUAAAGUUGUUGCAGUUAAAAAGCUCGUAGUUGAAUUUCGGGAUUGACACAUCGGUCGUGCCUUAAGGGGUAUGAACUGGUGUAGUCAAUUUCUCACCUUCUGGAGAACCGCGAUGCCCUUAAUUGGGUGUCACGGGGAACCAGGACCUUUGCUUUGAAAAAAUUAGAGUGUUUAAAGCAGGCAUUUUGCUUGAAUACAUUAGCAUGGAAUAAUAAAAUAGGACGGCAUGAUUCUAUUUUGUUGGUUUCUAGGAUCACCGUAAUGAUUAAUAGGGAUAGUUGGGGGCAUUAGUAUUCAAUUGUCAGAGGUGAAAUUCUUGGAUUUAUUGAAGACUAACUACUGCGAAAGCAUUUGCCAAGGAUGUUUUCAUUAAUCAAGAACGAAAGUUAGGGGAUCGAAGACGAUCAGAUACCGUCGUAGUCUUAACCAUAAACUAUGCCGACUAGGAAUCAGACGAUGUUAAUUUUUUAAUGACUCGUUUGGCACCUUACGGGAAACCAAAGUGUUUGGGUU